CCUACGGGAGGCAGCAGUGAGGAAUAUUGGUCAAUGGCCGAGAGGCUGAACCAGCCAAGUCGCGUGAGGGAAGACGGUCCUACGGGCUGUAAACCUCUUUUGUCGGGGAGCAAAGCGAGUCACGUGUGACUCAUUGAGCGUAUCCGAAGAAAAAGCAUCGGCGAACUCCGUGCCAGCAGCCGCGGUAAUCCGGAGGAUGCGAGCGUUAUCCGGAUUUAUUGGGGUUAAGGGGUGCGCAGGCGGAGGUACAAGGCUGCGGUCAAAUAGCGGGGCUCAACCCCGUAACUGCGUUGGAAACUGGGCGGCGGGAGUGCAGGAGGGGUAAGCGGAAGGGUGAGGGGAGGGGGGAAAGGCGUAGA
rnacentral:rRNA from 1 species